GGACAGAUGGCAGAGUGGUUUAUUGCAACGGUCUUGAAAACCGUCGUGGGGGAAACUCCACCGGGGGUUCAAAUCCCUCUCUGUCCGCCA
rnacentral:tRNA from 1 species